rnacentral:rRNA from 1 species
AGUGAACGCUGGCGGCGUGCCUAAUACAUGCAAGUCGAACGGAGUGGCGCGCGGGUGAGUAAUGUGUAGCUAAACUGCCCUACACUAGAGGACAAAAGUUGGGAACGAGUGCUAAUAAUCGAUAGUGUAGGAGGGGGCUAUAGUGUAUCAGCUAGUUGGUGAGGUAAUGGGGCACAAAGGCUAUGACGCCUAACUGGUCUGUGGGGAUGAGCAGUCGCACUUGAACUGAGUCACGGUCCAGAAUCCUACGGGAGGCAGCAGUAGGGAGUAUUGCUCAAUGGGGGAAACUCUGAAGCAGCAACGCCUCGUGGAGGAUUACACUUUUCGGAGCGUAAACUCCUUUUGUUAGGGAAGCGGUACCUAACGAAUAAGCACCGGCUAACUCCGUGCCAGCAGCCGCGGUAAUUC